GGGUUGUGAGGUUAAGCGACUAAGCGUACACGGUGGAUGCCCUGGCAGUCAGAGGCGAUGAAGGACGUGCUAAUCUGCGAUAAGCGUCGGUAAGGUGAUAUGAACCGUUAUAACCGGCGAUUUCCGAAUGGGGAAACCCAGUGUGAUUCGUCACACUAUCAUUAACUGAAUCCAUAGGUUAAUGAGGCGAACCGGGGGAACUGAAACAUCUAAGUACCCCGAGGAAAAGAAAUCAACCGAGAUUCCCCCAGUAGCGGCGAGCGAACGGGGAGCAGCCCAGAGCCUGAAUCAGUGUGUGUGUUAGUGGAAGCGUCUGGAAAGGCGCGCGAUACAGGGUGACAGCCCCGUACACAAAAAUGCACAUACUGUGAGCUCGAUGAGUAGGGCGGGACACGUGGUAUCCUGUCUGAAUAUGGGGGGACCAUCCUCCAAGGCUAAAUACUCCUGACUGACCGAUAGUGAACCAGUACCGUGAGGGAAAGGCGAAAAGAACCCCGGCGAGGGGAGUGAAAAAGAACCUGAAACCGUGUACGUACAAGCAGUGGGAGCACGCUUAGGCGUGUGACUGCGUACCUUUUGUAUAAUGGGUCAGCGACUUAUAUUCUGUAGCAAGGUUAACCGAAUAGGGGAGCCGAAGGGAAACCGAGUCUUAACUGGGCGUUAAGUUGCAGGGUAUAGACCCGAAACCCGGUGAUCUAGCCAUGGGCAGGUUGAAGGUUGGGUAACACUAACUGGAGGACCGAACCGACUAAUGUUGAAAAAUUAGCGGAUGACUUGUGGCUGGGGGUGAAAGGCCAAUCAAACCGGGAGAUAGCUGGUUCUCCCCGAAAGCUAUUUAGGUAGCGCCUCGUGAAUUCAUCUCCGGGGGUAGAGCACUGUUUCGGCAAGGGGGUCAUCCCGACUUACCAACCCGAUGCAAACUGCGAAUACCGGAGAAUGUUAUCACGGGAGACACACGGCGGGUGCUAACGUCCGUCGUGAAGAGGGAAACAACCCAGACCGCCAGCUAAGGUCCCAAAGUCAUGGUUAAGUGGGAAACGAUGUGGGAAGGCCCAGACAGCCAGGAUGUUGGCUUAGAAGCAGCCAUCAUUUAAAGAAAGCGUAAUAGCUCACUGGUCGAGUCGGCCUGCGCGGAAGAUGUAACGGGGCUAAACCAUGCACCGAAGCUGCGGCAGCGACGCUUAUGCGUUGUUGGGUAGGGGAGCGUUCUGUAAGCCUGCGAAGGUGUGCUGUGAGGCAUGCUGGAGGUAUCAGAAGUGCGAAUGCUGACAUAAGUAACGAUAAAGCGGGUGAAAAGCCCGCUCGCCGGAAGACCAAGGGUUCCUGUCCAACGUUAAUCGGGGCAGGGUGAGUCGACCCCUAAGGCGAGGCCGAAAGGCGUAGUCGAUGGGAAACAGGUUAAUAUUCCUGUACUUGGUGUUACUGCGAAGGGGGGACGGAGAAGGCUAUGUUGGCCGGGCGACGGUUGUCCCGGUUUAAGCGUGUAGGCUGGUUUUCCAGGCAAAUCCGGAAAAUCAAGGCUGAGGCGUGAUGACGAGGCACUACGGUGCUGAAGCAACAAAUGCCCUGCUUCCAGGAAAAGCCUCUAAGCAUCAGGUAACAUCAAAUCGUACCCCAAACCGACACAGGUGGUCAGGUAGAGAAUACCAAGGCGCUUGAGAGAACUCGGGUGAAGGAACUAGGCAAAAUGGUGCCGUAACUUCGGGAGAAGGCACGCUGAUAUGUAGGUGAAGUCCCUCGCGGAUGGAGCUGAAAUCAGUCGAAGAUACCAGCUGGCUGCAACUGUUUAUUAAAAACACAGCACUGUGCAAACACGAAAGUGGACGUAUACGGUGUGACGCCUGCCCGGUGCCGGAAGGUUAAUUGAUGGGGUCAGCGCAAGCGAAGCUCUUGAUCGAAGCCCCGGUAAACGGCGGCCGUAACUAUAACGGUCCUAAGGUAGCGAAAUUCCUUGUCGGGUAAGUUCCGACCUGCACGAAUGGCGUAAUGAUGGCCAGGCUGUCUCCACCCGAGACUCAGUGAAAUUGAACUCGCUGUGAAGAUGCAGUGUACCCGCGGCAAGACGGAAAGACCCCGUGAACCUUUACUAUAGCUUGACACUGAACAUUGAGCCUUGAUGUGUAGGAUAGGUGGGAGGCUUGGAAGUGUGGACGCCAGUCUGCAUGGAGCCGACCUUGAAAUACCACCCUUUAAUGUUUGAUGUUCUAACGUUGACCCGUAAUCCGGGUUGCGGACAGUGUCUGGUGGGUAGUUUGACUGGGGCGGUCUCCUCCUAAAGAGUAACGGAGGAGCACGAAGGUUGGCUAAUCCUGGUCGGACAUCAGGAGGUUAGUGCAAUGGCAUAAGCCAGCUUGACUGCGAGCGUGACGGCGCGAGCAGGUGCGAAAGCAGGUCAUAGUGAUCCGGUGGUUCUGAAUGGAAGGGCCAUCGCUCAACGGAUAAAAGGUACUCCGGGGAUAACAGGCUGAUACCGCCCAAGAGUUCAUAUCGACGGCGGUGUUUGGCACCUCGAUGUCGGCUCAUCACAUCCUGGGGCUGAAGUAGGUCCCAAGGGUAUGGCUGUUCGCCAUUUAAAGUGGUACGCGAGCUGGGUUUAGAACGUCGUGAGACAGUUCGGUCCCUAUCUGCCGUGGGCGCUGGAGAACUGAGGGGGGCUGCUCCUAGUACGAGAGGACCGGAGUGGACGCAUCACUGGUGUUCGGGUUGUCAUGCCAAUGGCACUGCCCGGUAGCUAAAUGCGGAAGAGAUAAGUGCUGAAAGCAUCUAAGCACGAAACUUGCCCCGAGAUGAGUUCUCCCUGACUCCUUGAGAGUCCUGAAGGAACGUUGAAGACGACGACGUUGAUAGGCCGGGUGUGUAAGCGCAGCGAUGCGUUGAGCUAACCGGUACUAAUGAACCGUGAGGCUUAACCUUACAACGCCGAAGGUGUUU
rnacentral:rRNA from 1 species